ensembl:lncRNA
GGCGUAUGUCUGCCAUUUUAUUUAGUUAUUUUUUGUUCUUGCUUGUUUAUUUUCUGUUUGUUUCCUGUUUUUCUUCUCCUUCUUUAUUUUCCUGUCUUCCUGUGGGUUACUUGAGUACUAUAGAGCUUUCCAUCUUAAUUGACCUGCUAAGGGUUUGAGCACACCUCUUGUUUCCAUUGUUUUGUGGUUGUUGCAAGUAUUAUGUUACACAUACUACUCACCAACAUCUUCAGGUGCUGACAUUUUCAGGUUGAGUGAAGCAUAGAAAUUGCCACUUUUUAAAGUCCCUUUAUGCUCCCUUAAUAUACUAAAUAUUCCUUCUACCUGCAUUAAGAACCAAUCAGACAGUGAUACAUGUUUUGCUUCAACUGUUAAAUGUAAUUUAGAAAACUCAAGAGGAGGAGACUCUGUUGUCUCUGCUCUGGUUUAUGUUCUUACCUAGAAAACUCAAGAAGAAGAGAUGCUCUUGUCUCUGCUCUGGUUUAUGUUCUCACCUAGAACACUCAAGAGGAGGAGACUCUGUUGUCUCUGCUCUGGUUUAUGUUCUCACCUAGAAAACUCAAGAGGAGGAGACUCUGUUGUCUCUGCUCUGGUAUAUGUUCUUACGUAGAAAACUCAAGAGGAGGAGACGGUCUUGUCUCUGCUCUGGUUUAUGUUCUCACCUAGAACACUCAAGAGGAGGAGACUCUGUUGUCUCUGCUCUGGUUUAUGUUCUCACCUAGAACACUCAAGAGGAGGAAACUGUUGUCUCUGCUCUGGUUUAUGUUCUCACCUAGAAAACUCAAGAGGAGGAGACUCUGUUGUCUCUGCUCUGGUUUAUGUUCUCACCUAGAACACUCAAGAGGAGGAGACGCUCUUGUCUCUGCUCUGGUAUACGUUCUUACCAUUUGUUCUUCCUCCCUGAUAUUCCACAUUUCCUUCUGUUACCAUUUUCUUCUGAUUAAAGAACUUUCUUUAACCACUCUUUUAGGGCAAGUCUAUUGGUGACAAAUUCUCUCAGUUUAUUUUCUUCUGAGAAUGUCUUGAUUUUUCCUUCAUCUUGAAGAUAAUUUCCCAGAUAUAAAAUGUCAGGUUGACAGUUCUUUUCCUUCAGUCCUUGAAACAUCAGCCACUUGCUCCUGGCCCCCAUGCCUUCUGAUGAAAAAUCCUUUGUCAUUCCAAUUUCUUUGCCCCAUAAAUAAGGUGUCCUUUCUCUCUUGCUAUUGUCAAGGUUUAUUAUUUGUCUUCCAUUUUCAAGAGUUUGAUUAUAAUGUGUGUUAGUGUGGAUUUCUUUGGGUUUAUACUGCCUGGUAUUCACUCAACAUCUUGAGUUUGUAGGUUUAUUUCUUUUGCUAAAUUUGGAGACUUUUCUCAUUAUUUCUUCUAAUGCUGUUUCAGGUCCUCUGCCUUUCUCCUCUCUUUCUGGAAUUCUGAAGACAAGAAUGUUAGAUCUUUUGUUAUAGUUCCUACAGGAACCUGGGGUGCUUUUCAGUUAUUUUUUAAUCUACUUUCUCUCUGUUGCUCAGACUGGAUCUUUUCUUGUGUUCUAUUUUCAAGUUCACUGGUUCUUUCCUUUGUCCCAUCCAUUCUACUGUUCAGUCCAUUGACUGAGUUUUUUAUUUCAAUGAUUGUAUUUUUCAGUUCUAAAAUUUUCAUUAGUUCUUCUUUGCAUCUUCUAUUUCUUUGCUAAGCUUUUCUGAUUUUUUAAAAAUUGUUUAUUUAGAGUGUGUUUGCAAUUUCUUGUUGAGGUUUUUUUUGUGUGUAUGGCUACCUUAAAGUUCUUAUCAGAUGAGGUAACAUCUGUGUUGCACUGGUGUCGGCAUCUGUUGACUGCCUUUUCUCAUUCAAGUUGGGAUUUUCCUGGUUCUUGGUAGGAUGAGUGAUUGAGUGAUUUUUUUUUUUUUUUUUUUUUUUUUUUUUGAGAUGGAGUUUUGCUCUUGUUACCCAGGCUGGAGUGCAAUGGUGUGAUCUCGGCUCACGGCAACCUCUGCCUCCUGGGUUCAGGCAAUUCUCCUGCCUCAGCCUCCUGAGUAGCUGGGAUAACAGGCAUGUACCACCAUGUCCAGCUAAUUUUUUGUAUUUUUAGUAGAGAUGGGGUUUCACCAUGUUGACCAGGAUGGUCUUGAUCUCUUGACCUCGUGAUCCACCUGCCUUGGCCUCCCAAAGUGCUGGGAUUACAGGCGUGAGCCACAACGCCCGGCCGAGUGAUUUUUUUUUGUUUUUUGAGACAGAGUCUUGCUCUGUCACUCGGGCGGGAGUGCAAUGGCGCAAUCUCAGCUCAGUGCAACCUCUGCCUCCCAGGUUCAAGCAAUUCUUCUGCCUUAGCCUCCCAAGUAGCUGGGACUGCAGGUAUGUGCCACCACGCCCAGCUAAUUUUUGUAUUUUUAAUAGAGACAAGAUUUCACCAUAUUGGCCAGGCUGGUCUCGAACUCCUGACUUUGUGAUCCGCCCACCUUGGCCUCCCAAAGUGCUGGGAUUACAGGCAUAAGCUACUGUGCCCAGCCAGGAUGAGUGAUUUUUAAGUUAUGACCUGGAUAGUACAAUGAUUCCCCCCAUCCCCUUAUCUGCAAGGAGUAUAUUCCAAGUCCGCCAGUGGAUGCCCCAAACCACAGAAUAGUUCCAAACUCUUUAUAUACUAUGUGUUUUUCCUAUACAUACCUACCUAUGGCAAAGUUUAAUUUAUAAAUUGGGCACAGGAAGAGAUUAAUAACAACUAAUAAUAAAAUAGAAC